AUUGAACGCUAGCGGCAUGCCUUACACAUGCAAGUCGAACGAGUGGCGGACGGGUGAGUAAUAUAUUGGAACGUGCCCAGUAGAGGGGGAUAACUACUCGAAAGAGUGGCUAAUACCGCAUACGAUUGGAGCGGCCGAGAGUGGAUUAGCUAGUUGGUGGGGUAAAGGCUCACCAAGGCGACGAUCCGUAGCUGGUUUGAGAGGAUGACCAGCCACACUGGGACUGAGACACGGCCCAGACUCCUACGGGAGGCAGCAGUGGGGAAUUUUGGACAAUGGGGGAAACCCUGAUCCAGCCACGCCGCGUGUAUGAGAAGGCCUUCGGGUUGUAAAGUACUUUUGGCAGAGAAGCGGUAUCUGCAGAAUAAGCACCGGCUAACUACGUGCCAGCAGCCGCGGUAAUUC
rnacentral:rRNA from 1 species